rnacentral:rRNA from 1 species
AAUAGAUACCCCGGUAGUCCACGCCGUAAACGAUGAGCGCUAAGUGUUAGAGGGUUUCCGCCCUUUAGUGCUGCAGCUAACGCAUUAAGCACUCCGCCUGGGGAGUACGGCCGCAAGGCUGAAACUCAAAGGAAUUGACGGGGGCCCGCACAAGCGGUGGAGCAUGUGGUUUAAUUCGAAGCAACGCGAAGAACCUUACCAGGUCUUGACAUCCUCUGCCAACCCUAGAGAUAGGGUGUUCCCCUUCGGGGGACAGAGUGACAGGUGGUGCAUGGUUGUCGUCAGCUCGUGUCGUGAGAUGUUGGGUUAAGUCCCGCAACGAGCGCAACCCUUGAUCUUAGUUGCCAGCAUUUAGUUGGGCACUCUAAGGUGACUGCCGGUGACAAACCGGAGGAAGGUGGGGAUGACGUCAAAUCAUCAUGCCCCUUAUGACCUGGGCUACACACGUGCUACAAUGGAUGGUACAAAGAGCUGCGAACCCGCGAGGGUAAGCCAAUCUCAUAAAGCCAUUCUCAGUUCGGA